rnacentral:rRNA from 1 species
GAUGAACGCUGGCGGCGUGCCUAAUACAUGCAAGUCGAGCGAACGGACGAGAAGCUUGCUUCUCUGAUGUUAGCGGCGGACGGGUGAGUAACACGUGGAUAACCUACCUAUAAGACUGGGAUAACUUCGGGAAACCGGAGCUAAUACCGGAUAAUAUUUUUAACCGCAUGGUUCAAACGUGAAAGACGCUCUUGCUUCCCCUAAUAGAUGUCUCCGCGUUGCAUUAGCUAGUUGGUAAGGUAACGGCUAACCAAGGCAUCGAUGCAUAGCCGACCUGAGAGGGGGAUCGGCCACACGGGAACUGAGACACGGUCCAGACUCCUACGGGAGGCAGCAGUAGGGAAUCUUGCGAAAUGGGCGAAAGCCUGACGGAGCAACGCCGCGGGAGUGAUGAAGGUCUUCGGAUCGUAAAACUCUGUUAUUAGGGAAGAACAUAUGUGGAAGUAACUGUGCACAUCUUGACGGUACCUAAUCAGAAAGCCACGGCUAGCUACGUG